rnacentral:tRNA from 1 species
GUCUAGGGUAGCCUAGUGGACAUGGCAUCUGCUCGUUAAGCGGAAAACACUGUGGGUUCGAUUCCCAUCCCUGGACA